AGGGUGACAGCCCCGUACACAAAAGCGCAUGUGCUGUGAGCUCGAUGAGUAGGGCGGGACACGUGGUAUCCUGUCUGAAUAUGGGGGGACCAUCCUCCAAGGCUAAAUACUCCUGACUGACCGAUAGUGAACCAGUACCGUGAGGGAAAGGCGAAAAGAACCCCGGCGAGGGGAGUGAAAAAGAACCUGAAACCGUGUACGUACAAGCAGUGGGAGCACCCUUUGGGGUGUGACUGCGUACCUUUUGUAUAAUGGGUCAGCGACUUAUAUUCUGUAGCAAGGUUAACCGUAUAGGGGAGCCGUAGGGAAACCGAGUCUUAACCGGGCGUUAAGUUGCAGGGUAUAGACCCGAAACCCGGUGAUCUAGCCAUGGGCAGGUUGAAGGUUGGGUAACACUAACUGGAGGACCGAACCGACUAAUGUUGAAAAAUUAGCGGAUGACCUGUGGCUGGGGGUGAAAGGCCAAUCAAACCGGGAGAUAGCUGGUUCUCCCCGAAAGCUAUUUAGGUAGCGCCUCGUGAAUUCAUCUCCGGGGGUAGAGCACUGUUUCGGCUAGGGGGCCAUCCCGGCUUACCAACCCGAUGCAAACUGCGAAUACCGGAGAAUGUUAUCACGGGAGACACACGGCGGGUGCUAACGUCCGUCGUGAAGAGGGAAACAACCCAGACCGCCAGCUAAGGUCCCAAAGUCAUGGUUAAGUGGGAAACGAUGUGGGAAGGCCCAGACAGCCAGGAUGUUGGCUUAGAAGCAGCCAUCAUUUAAAGAAAGCGUAAUAGCUCACUGGUCGAGUCGGCCUGCGCGGAAGAUGUAACGGGGCUAAACCAU
rnacentral:rRNA from 1 species